rnacentral:rRNA from 1 species
AUUGAACGCGGGCGGCAUGCCUUACACAUGCAAGUCGAACGGCAGCACGGGUGCUUGCACCUAGUGGCGAGUGGCGAACGGGUGAGUAAUACAUCGGAACAUGUCCUGUAGUGGGGGAUAGCCCGGCGAAAGCCGGAUUAAUACCGCAUACGAUCUACGGAUGAAAGCGGGGGACCUUCGGGCCUCGCGCUAUAGGGUUGGCCGAUGGCUGAUUAGCUAGUUGGUGGGGUAAAGGCCUACCAAGGCGACGAUCAGUAGCUGGUCUGAGAGGACGACCAGCCACACUGGGACUGAGACACGGCCCAGACUCCUACGGGAGGCAGCAGUGGGGAAUUUUGGACAAUGGGCGAAAGCCUGAUCCAGCAAUGCCGCGUGUGUGAAGAAGGCCUUCGGGUUGUAAAGCACUUUUGUCCGGAAAGAAAUCCUUGGCCCUAAUACGGUCGGGGGAUGAC